CUCCUUCUCCUCCUCUCUGGUGGAGGUGGAGGUGAUGGAGGAGGUGGAUGUUUUAUCUCAGAUGAAAGCCACAUGUGGAGCAGCAGCUGACACUUUUCUUUAUUCCCUUUCAAGCUCCAGAAUCAGGUGAAACCAUCUCCGCUCUGAUUGGCUGACUCCUCUUUUGUUUUAAGAAAAUCAGAUUUUAUGUCUGUUUGUUUUUUUCAGCAUCUCUUUGUUUGAGUGACGGACAGGAAGCUCCUCAUCCUCCUCAUCCUCCUCUUCCUCCCCCCUCCUCCUCUCUGUGUCGGAUCAUGUGGGCUUCAGCAUCUGUGUCAUCAUUAGUAUCAUAACCCCUCUGAGAGAAGAGACACAUCCAUCUGUCUGCACAGGCCCCGCCUCCUGCUGCUCGUUACACAGCUCCGCUUAUGAUUGGCCGGUUCAGCCUCCAAACUCGGUUAACAGCUGAGCAGUAGAUCUGCUCUGACUGAUGGAGCUUCACUGACAUCUGCUGGUUAACUGACAGAACUGCAACAGACAGAUGAAGACUCAAUACAGGAGACACAUUUCUGUGACUGAACACACGUUAAAUCAACGUUAAUCUAACGUCUGUGACCUCCUGCUGACCCACUCUGACCUGUGAUC